rnacentral:lncRNA from 1 species
GACACAGACGAACUUUGUUUUCUUUCAAAUUCCUGCUUCCUGAAACUGAGGCUGUUUAGGAGAAACAGAAAGGUUGUGCUGAAAUUAACUUUUUUUCCCCAGUGUUAGAUUAGCUGCUCUUAACGUGUUUUUCCUCUUCUUCGAGAUAAAUUUUAUUCAGCAAAACUCCAGCUCUCAAUCAACCUAACCAUUGCCUUCCCUACGCCUGCAUCUGGAUGCCUAAAUUCUUCUGGAGAAACACCUACAGAUGUGUGGAUUGAUGCCAUUAAAAUACGUAGUUGCACUCUCAGCUUAGCCGAGCCCUUGGUGCCACUUGGAGAUUCUUCGACGUAUUGAUGGUCAGUU